AUGUCGAUCUCCUUAUGCUCAGAAAUAUUGAUUUCCUUGUUGGGAUGUCUGAAAUAUCAAACCAAGAAAACAAUUCAGUUCAUAAAAACAAUCAACCGAAUUCCAACAUCAUUUUCAUUGAUGUCGAUCUCCUUAUGCUCAGAAAUAUUGAUUUCCUUGUUGGGAUGUCUGAAAUAUCAAACCAAGAAAACAAUUCAGUUCAUAAAAACAAUCAACCGAAUUCCAACCUUGAAGUUCUUCAUUCUUCACCUUCUGGAAGAAUCACCAUAGGCACCUUCAAUCUUCUCCUCACUGUCUCUGAAAAAUCUCCAUGCACUCUCUCGUCUCUCUGUUUGUUCUCCCAUCAUCCUUCAUCACUCUCUUCUCGAUUCCUCAAUAAACAAACUUUCUCUGCUCCCCUUCUCUCUGCAACUCAGAAAACCUCCACUCUACUUCAACUUCUAAAUCCGUAG